UCCCAAGAGAAUCACUGCCAAAGUAAACAAACAUCUUCAUGAAAGGAAAAUAAUGUCUGAGGAGCAUUCAGAAUUCCAUGUUUUACAGAAGAGUAUUUAUGGCAACCAACUAGUGAAUUAAAGUGAAAGAAAUCCCAUUACUAGUUUGCUGCUUCUGCUGUGCUAAUCGAAAGUGGCAAUUUCUGCUUGCUUCUCUGCGCUACAGUGCAGGGUCUCAGUAUAAGCUGUAAUUUAAAAUGAAGGAAAUUAUGAGAUGAAACUCUUUUUAGAAGCAGUGUUAUGUUGGGUUUGCUUUUAUUUUUCUUAAUUGUUGGUAAUUGUAUAGAGCUUCUGCAUGUAAAACUCAGGGGAACUGCUAUUGUCUCCAAAAUGUUCUGCGUGUGGUUGGCAAGAACAACAAGCACAGAAGAAAGUUCAGCUAAAAAAUUCAUAAAAGCUGCCUGGUGGAAUGCAUUGCAAUCAGCUGUACACCUUGGUGCUCUUAUCCCUCUGAACUGAUCAUUUUUAGCUGAGAUGAAACAUUCUGAGGAGCAGGAGCCUGGCAGAUUUGCGGCGUAGAUUGUUUGAAGGUUUAAACACUGUGACUAUCUCAUCUUACUGCAAGUCUGUAGAUAGAACAUAAGCUCAAGUUGCUGAAAAGUGAUAGAAUGGCUCUGUGUGCACAGCCUACAAAACUGUGAAGGGCUUAUUUUCUGUGUGCUUUCUGCGUUCCCUCCAGGAGAGCAGUAAUUCCCCAGUGGAGCAAGCACACUUUGCAUUUGUUGAGGAUGAGACUGUCUCUAGUCCUUUGUUUGGGCAGCGGCUUUCACAAAGGGGACCAGUACUCACUGGGAACUUGCCAGCACCAUCAUAUGUUUCAUGACAAAUGCUAAGUGUUCAGAAAGUUGGCACUACAAAAUAGAGAUACUGUUAAUCUCUGUUUAAUUCUCAAAAUGGCUUGUAGGAUUUUAAAGCUUGUGUUGUUGCUGGUGCACUCACCCAUCAGAUAGCAUUUUUAACAGCCCUUCUAAUAUGGCCGGUUAAUUUGGUUAUAUUACUAGGAUGUAAAACAAAAUGAUUCCUAGGAUAGAGAUUGCUAGAUUGCUAAGAUUUUACUGCCGUUUUUUUCCUAUCUGCUGCGUGCUGAAGAACAGUGUGUCCAGCCACAUGUAUUGCUGUAGUCAGACCAUGGUAUUUUCUCAUCUUCUUUCCCAUGUACAGCUCAGACACAGCUGCCGCUAUUUACCAAACACAAAGGUGUUUUUCACAGCUCAGAGAGUAUGUUUGGGUUCUGCUGUAAGGAACGCGAGAUACAUCUCUAUUAAUUGCAUGAAUGUUCAGUGUAUGUUUAUGUACCUGGAUACUGUGGUGUUCUCUUUGGAAUUUUAGGGAGCGAGCUCAUAGAUCUUUGGAUACGUCUCCAGAGACAUGAUGAUUCCAGCGUCAGAAUAAUCUGCUCCAUAACGUGACCACAUUUAGGAGACCAGCUCCUGGGAGGAGACCCAAGGAGACAUCUUGAAAUUUCUGAGCAGAGAGGCUUUUGACACAGAGUUGGUGUACGCCGGAUGGCAUCCAGUUGGUAGCCUGCAUUGCUGGUGCAGCAGGAGGAAGCAAGCCUCUGACAAGAGCUAGAUAUGUCACCCUGCAGGACUGCACGGACAGCUUAAAUGGAGUGUAUGUUUGCACCUAAGCAGACUGUUAAGGUCUGAUGAAAGGAUGCGUUUUUCAUUGCUAUUUGUUGUAUGUAAGAGAAAUUGGCAUCUGCGCAUGUGUCUAACAACUCAGAAGUGUGGUCUAUAUGCAAGCAUAAGUGAAGUGCAAUAUAACAAAUGUAAUGAAAAGCAAGAUGAGAGAUCAGUUGGGUGCACGGCUGGAUGAAGAAGAACACCGGACAGAUGUUUGCAAAGAGGUCUCAACAAGGAGUCCAAGAUCCUUCCUGGAGUGAUUAUUUAUAAUUUAUCACAGUGUUUGUGCAAUUAGGGUGUUUUUUCCCCCCACGUGUAUUCCUGUGCGUCUAUCGAUAAUAAAUGAUGCGUGG
rnacentral:lncRNA from 1 species